CAGAGAUGCUGCCUCCAGUGCUGCCACCAUGGAAGAGCUGUCUGUGCCCCUAGACACAGAGCAACUUCUCCCAGUGAAGAAGGUCCACACUCCUACAAGAAUCUAGUAAAGGAGCCUGUGAACAGGAAGAGCAGAAAUGAUUCCAUUUACAGUUGAGAAUUAGCAGCCAGACUGGAAUGAAGAAUGCCAUGGUUCCUGUCCUAGAGCUGCCGACGAGCUGAAGAGUCAUCGGCUUCCCCUCUUGGGUUCCCUGUCUUGAAAAUGAUUGCUGUGGAAGGACGUUAUCUGCCUCCAAACUCUCAUCUGCAUUCUGGGAAAUCCAGGAUAAUACAUGCUGGCAAACAGUGCUCAGCUGAGCCUGGCCCUGAUCUAAGUUCUACGAAGAAGGAAGAGGAAGAGGAUGAAGAGGAGGGAGAAGAGGAGGAGGACCGAGCUCACAGUGAAGCAUGCAUACCAGAAUAAGGAUGGACAACUUUCACAUCUUGUUAAUCAUGAACUUCAUAUUACCAUCUCAGAAAACCGAUCCUGUCUCCCAGUGAUAAAGAUGAAACAGGAGUGAGUCUGCUUCCUGGAAAACAGCUCAUGUUUCAGUAGCUGGGCUGCACCCCCGGCUGGCCCUGACAGCUCCCGUCCAGCCCCAUGCCUUCUCUCAGCAUCAGUCCACGAAAAGAUGCUUUCAGGAACAUCUGCAUUCUCUCAUGCGGGAAGACAAGCAGAGCGGACAUCCUGCAGAAGGAAAUACCAGGACCGACCUGUUGGGUACCAGCAGACCCUGCUCAGGGUUAAAUGCGCAGAAUCACAGAUAUGCCCCCUCCAUGGAGCAAGCAAUUGAAGCUGUAAAUGCUGCAGAAAACUUCUGUCGUGCUUUUCAUGUCUCCAAAUGCCAACCUCCGGUGUGCUGGGGCAGGGUCUGGACUUCAUGGUGCAAGUAAAAAAUAAACAUUCACAGCAACAGUUCUUUCCAAAAACACCUUGAAAUUCCUCAUGAAUCUUGGACUGUGUAGCAGUUGGCUGAGAAAGCAUUAUGCUUUAAAUACUUAUUAAGCGUUUAAUAAAUAUCUGCUGAAAAUCAACCUAGUUUGAAGUUGGAAACUUACCUGAGAGGUCACCUAGCCUAGGCACAAAGUAUCUUUUAAGAAGGUGAAAAUGAAAAAUUAGCUUCCCUGCCACCAACCGAGAGCCUAGCUAUUGUCUUUGAAUUCCUCCACGAUACCUGGGCUCAGAGGCAUAUGGGUCCUUUCAAUUUUGGCAGUCAAAAUUUAAUUAAUCAUAUUGAGUUAUUAUGAUACUUCACUCUUUUUGGUCAGGAAUUUGCUUUGUAUUGUGCAUGUUCAUACUGAAUGUAAGAAAAAUUAAUAUUGACUGAUCAAUGCUUGUUCUGAGUUUUUUAGCAUUUAUAAAGAAUAUAAUAAAUAAAUCUGUGGU